rnacentral:lncRNA from 1 species
GUACCUGAAAGUUGACGCUCCCAACGGCGUCCGCCUUCUGGGCCUUGAUCAUAAAGAUCCGCUUCCAGAGCCCCCAAUGAGGGCUUACCCCCAAGAAACAUUGGCACAGCGUGAUGACGCACGCAACGUGCAAAUAAGAAUUGGGGCGCAAAUCGUGAAGCUGCAGCCCAUAGGCUAGCAGCAUAGCACGGAAAAAGGUAUGAAGGGGAAAAGAGAGCCCUCGCAGCACAUAAUUGUAACAUCCCAAUUUUCCCAAACUUUGCAUGAUGCAUUUGCACUCAUGAACAUCAUGCCAUUUAUGCACUUUGAGCACUUUUAAACCAAGGUUUUAAAAUUUAAAAUCUUUUAUUAAGCUUUUGCCUUUUAAUCUCCUUUGCUACCAUUUUGGCAUUUAUCAACCCAUUUUGAAAAACUAGCUUGUUUCUAAAUAUUAUUGCACUAGAGGCAACUAUUUAAGCAAAACUAUUUUUAAUAAUUUGCUUUUGGAGGAAAUCAAGUUCCAGAUGCUAUUAAAGGAUAUGAUUUUACAAAUUUUCUGGAAUUUAUUUGAGGUCAUUUGGAGUUCAACAUCAAAGGAUAUAAAGGAAAAACAGAAAAGAAAAGGAGAAAAGAAAAAGAACAAAAAAAAAAGUAAAACGGACCGGCCCGGCCAACUUGGCCGAACCGGCCCAGUCGCCCGUGCGCGCAGCCCCUCCCGCGAGCCGGCCCCGCAAGCUCGCCAGCCCCGCCAGCCGCCGCCGCGCGCCAGCAGUCGUUGACAGGUGGGGCCGACCUGUCAGUCGUCUUAACCCCUCGGCCGGGAAUCUAGCAAGCACCUCCUUCAAUCCUCGUCUUCAAUUCGCGAUUUAGAGCCCGCCUUUAAGCACCCCUCUCGCGUCACUAUAAAGAGGGCACUCCCCUCUCUCUUUCCCCCCACACCCCCUCACUCCACUCGCGCCCACGCCGCCGUAAUUCCUCGCCGGAGUUGCUGCCGCCACCGCCGGUCUCGAGCUCGCCGUCGCCACACCGGUGAGAAAAAGACCUGGAACCCAUCAUUUUCGUUCUCCCCUCGAGCUUGCGCUCGUUUUGACGCGAACGGUUUUGUUUUUGGUGCCUCGUAGCCCUCGGACGCCCUUCGCCUGAGCUCGUCGGAGUUCCACCGGUGCUGCCGCCUCUCGUUGUCGUUCCCGGCUCCGUCUCGUCGCCCCGAUCGCGUCACCGACUCCGCUGCACCGCCGCCCCUCGCUAGCAUCUUCCUCGAGUCCGAGGACCACCAGAGCACCCGCGCGCCGCCCGCCUGUGACGCCGCC